rnacentral:rRNA from 1 species
UACGUAGGGUGCAAGCGUUGUCCGGAAUUAUUGGGCGUAAAGAGCUCGUAGGCGGUCUGUCGCGUCUGCUGUGAAAACCUAGGGCUUAACCCUGGGCCUGCAGUGGGUACGGGCAGACUAGAGUGCGGUAGGGGAGACUGGAAUUCCUGGUGUAGCGGUGAAAUGCGCAGAUAUCAGGAGGAACACCGGUGGCGAAGGCGGGUCUCUGGGCCGUAACUGACGCUGAGGAGCGAAAGCAUGGGUAGCGAACAGG